AGUCAAAUCCACAAUCCUAUAUGGCUAACUGAAAGAUUCGUUUGUAGUGAAACAAUGUUGUUUGAAGAUUAAAGCUGAGUGAACAUUCAAAAGGGAAUUGUUAGGUAAUUGAUCCACCAAUCAAUCACAGUGUUUUCAUAACAGUCGUCAGAUCCUGCACUCAAUCUCUAUUUCUCAAAUAUUUAGAGUAGUUUUCUAAUUUUCUUAGAAAUAUCUGCGAGAGGUUACAUCUAAAGAUGCUUUCGCAUAUGCUUUUUUAUAAUGGGAAUUUGUCAAAUAUGACUCAAAACUUGAUUUUAAAUGCAAAAUUAUAUCCAAACUUGAAUCAAAUGCAAAAAAUAACUCAAAAG
rnacentral:lncRNA from 1 species